GUAGAAAGGCUACUCCAUAUCAAACCUGACUACACGUCUCUUCGUGUCUUUGGGUGUGCAUGUUGGCCAAAUCUUCGUCCAUAUAAUCAACGCAAACUCAUGUUUCGCUCAAAACAAUGUGUGUUUCUUGGGUAUAGCGCUCAACACAAAGGUGUAAAAUGCCUAGAUGUGUCUUCGGGGCGCGUUUAUAUUUCCCGUGACGUUGUUUUUGACGAAACCAAGUUUCCUUUUGAUGAUCUUCAUCCCAACGCCGGCGCAUUGCUUCGCAAAGAAAUUCUUCUCUUGCCAUCUCAUCUCACUGGCCUUGAUCAAGGGGGAAAUACUUGUGAUGAUUCAAUGCUGACUAAUCCUCCUAACAGUGCACAUGAGUCCUCUGGUGUG
rnacentral:rRNA from 1 species